rnacentral:piRNA from 1 species
UAGUGCAUUGUGUUGGAUUGUUCU